rnacentral:rRNA from 1 species
CCCUAGAUGUUCUGGGCCGCACGCGCGCUACACUGAACAGUUCAACAAGUCUUAACCUUGGCCGAUAGGUCUGGGUAAUCUUUGAACGCUGUUCGUGAUUGGGAUAGACCUUUGCAAUUAUGGGUCUUCAACGAGGAAUUCCUAGUAAACGCAAGUCAUCAGCUUGCAUUGAUUACGUCCCUGCCCUUUGUACACACCGCCCGUCGCACCUACCGAUUGAAUGGUCCGGUGAAAUCUCGGGACGGCGGCUUGGUCGCUUGCGUCCGACUGCUGAAACUUGAUUAAACCAUAUCAUUCAGAGGAAGGUGAAGUCGUAACA